rnacentral:rRNA from 1 species
GACGAACGCUGGCGGCGUGCUUAACACAUGCAAGUCGAACGGAAAGGCCCUGCUUUUGUGGGGUGCUCGAGUGGCGAACGGGUGAGUAACACGUGAGUAACCUGCCCUUGACUUUGGGAUAACUUCAGGAAACUGGGGCUAAUACCGGAUAGGAGCUCCUGCUGCAUGGUGGGGGUUGGAAAGUUUCGGCGGUUGGGGAUGGACUCGCGGCUUAUCAGCUUGUUGGUGGGGUAGUGGCUUACCAAGGCUUUGACGGGUAGCCGGCCUGAGAGGGUGACCGGCCACAUUGGGACUGAGAUACGGCCCAGACUCCUACGGGAGGCAGCAGUGGGGAAUAUUGCACAAUGGGCGGAAGCCUGAUGCAGCAACGCCGCGUGCGGGAUGACGGCCUUCGGGUUGUAAACCGCUUUCGCCUGUGACGAAGCGUGAGUGACGGUAAUGGGUAAAGAAGCACCGGCUAACUACGUGCCAGCAGCCGCGGUGAUACGUAGGGUGCGAGCGUUGUCCGGAUUUAUUGGGCGUAAAGGGCUCGUAGGUGGUUGAUCGCGUCGGAAGUGUAAUCUUGGGGCUUAACCCUGAGCGUGCUUUCGAUACGGGUUGACUUGAGGAAGGUAGGGGAGAAUGGAAUUCCUGGUGGAGCGGUGGAAUGCGCAGAUAUCAGGAGGAACACCAGUGGCGAAGGCGGUUCUCUGGGCUUUUCCUGACGCUGAGGAGCGAAAGCGUGGGGAGCGAACAGGCUUAGAUACCCUGGUAGUCCACGCUGUAAACGGUGGGUACUAGGUGUGGGGUCCAUUCCACGGGUUCCGUGCCGUAGCUAACGCUUUAAGUACCCCGCCUGGGGAGUACGGCCGCAAGGCUAAAACUCAAAGGAAUUGACGGGGCCCCGCACAAGCGGCGGAGCAUGCGGAUUAAUUCGAUGCAACGCGUAGAACCUUACCUGGGUUUGACAUGGAUCGGGAGCGCUCAGAGAUGGGUGUGCCUCUUUUGGGGUCGGUUCACAGGUGGUGCAUGGCUGUCGUCAGCUCGUGUCGUGAGAUGUUGGGUUAAGUCCCGCAACGAGCGCAACCCUUGUUCACUGUUGCCAGCACGUUAUGGUGGGGACUCAGUGGAGACCGCCGGGGUCAACUCGGAGGAAGGUGGGGAUGACGUCAAGUCAUCACGCCCCUUAUGUCCAGGGCUUCACGCAUGCUACAAUGGCUGGUACAGAGAGUGGCGAGCCUGUGAGGGUGAGCGAAUCUCGGAAAGCCGGUCUCAGUUCGGAUUGGGGUCUGCAACUCGACCUCAUGAAGUCGGAGUCGCUAGUAAUCGCAGAUCAGCAACGCUGCGGUGAAUACGUUCCCGGG